rnacentral:tRNA from 3 species
AAAAAGUUAGUUAAAAUAACAUUAAUAUGUCAUAUUAAAAUUAUUGGUUUAAACCAUUACUUUUUG